rnacentral:lncRNA from 1 species
AAUGCAAAUACGUGGAAAUUAUUUUAGAGUUUUAAGUUCACAAUUACCUUUGGAGACUUCUGCUGUCUCAGUCCCCACUGCAACACCCAGAGAAAAUGUCUCUUCAUCAUUUUGACUCAGAAAUACAUCGCUGUAAUACAUAUAUAAAUAUAUAUCAAAUAUGUGUAACUAUAUAUAAUCAUAAGAUAUUUUGAAUGUAUAUAAAUAUAUUUU